UUAUGCAUUUCAUAUUUAUUUAAAUUGAGCAUUUAGUAUCUACACGAGCUAUUUAUUUAAGCAAACACUGAAGAAUUAUUACAGUUUUCAUAAUACAACCCGGAAGACUUUUUAUUUUAUUUUACUUUCCUUCACCUACUCUUCCACACCCACCUACUUCCUCCACCUUUCCUCCCACUUUCAGCUACUCCCACCCAACUACUCCUCUAAAUAACCCUCAAAGUAUAGAUCAAUCAUCACUUCCUUUCUCUCCUCAAGUCACGCUGCUUUCGAUCAAGAAGGGGAAACAACAAAUUCACAAUAUACAUCCCUCAUAUCUCAAGGUUUUUCCUAUACUGAAAAUCUAUAUUUCAAUGUUCCAUUAUCAUUAUUUUUUUUAUGAUCCAUACAAGACACGUUCAGAGCACCACCAACACACACGAGAAUUCACAUAACUAUGAAUACGUUAUGAGUUGUUCUUGAAUUGAAAUUACUGUACAGAUAACUGAAGGAAGAAUAAUAAUUUACAGAUCUAGAAGCUUUAAUAAGAAAUUGUCAUUAAACAAUUUACAGUUUAGUAAUACAAAUCUGCCCUAAUCCUACUUUUAAUUGUGGUUAAAUUUUUGUGCUAAGCCCAUGUGUAUGUGUGUGAGUGUCGAGGGCAGAAGUCGGCGGCCCGGGAAGCUCGCCGGUGAUGGCGUGGCGGCGGCAGACCCGCCGUUGACUCCAACCUGUCGAAAAAAAAAAAAGGGGAGAGAUAUCAGUUUUUAUUUGAAAAUGAGAGAUUAAAGAAAGAGGAAGUGAAAUUAGGGUUUAUUUUCCGGCGACAAAGGCGGCGGCGCACCACGGCGGGGCGUCUGCUGUCCUGUUUCCGUUAACAGAGAAGAACGAGCGAGGGAAAAAGGUUUGAGAGAGAUGGUCGGGGCUGAGAUGGUGGUGAGCGGCU